UUCAGAACAAAUUGACCUGCUUUUUAACGCGACUGCUUUCCUUGCGGCAAGCGUCUCGCGGAACCUGAUGUGCUUUAUAAAAUGCAUCGGAUCUGAAAUGGGAUUGUUUGAGCUUGGAAAGGCAAUGAGCAUGGAAGUGUUGCGGCAAAUAGAACUGGUAGCCCAGGAAAAUCCUGUUUUGCUUGAGCAGGCAAUGGCUGCCUUCCUCCAGUGCAGCACAAUUAAGUUUAAUGAGGACUGCACGACUGCCUACGAAAUGUACAGGUGCUGCCAACGGAAUGCGCCUGACGUGGUUUCGAAAAUAAUCUAUAAUAAUUACGAUAAUGGAUCAAUC